rnacentral:lncRNA from 1 species
UGUUACAGCACAGAGUUAUGGAGGGAGAGAUCUAGAAGGACUCCAGAAUCAGUGUUUGAUUGCCAAGAAGAACUGCAACUUGAAGGAGCCUGUUCCAUCUGUCUGCAAAUGGAGACAAUACAGUGAGUGCCAAAAUUAUUGCCAAUAAUUUUAACACGUAACAGUUCAAUAAUCAUGCAAAAGAAGAUAAGAGUCUUGUAAUGAAACGUUGAGUGACUCCAUAAGUACAACAUUCACUCAAAAGAAAAAGCUUUUCUGAUAAAGUAUAUGUGGGAUCCUGUAAGUACAUCAGUACAAAUAUUCCAACUCUUUGCUUGUCUAUAACUAGAUAAGAAAUUGAAGAUUCAGAAAGUUCCAAUGUAGAUCAUUGAGGCCAUCUGGCUUUCCAAAUUGUGGCUCUCUCAUAUCCCAGAAUCAAGAUAUGUAGCUAGAGUAAAUUUCAUGAUGGAAGAUAUAUAUUGCAGAAAAAUGUACUGUGGUAAAUAAAACUUCUACCAAUAAAGAAAACUGCUAUUGUAGUUGCUCCUUAACUCUGCUGAACUGAAAGCAUUAGAGAAGAUUAAUACACCAUAAGAUGCAAAAACUAAUUCACCUGGGAACUUCAUAAUCCCGUUAUCCUGCAACUGAAGUUCUUAAGUCCAGAAAUUCAAAGAAGAUUUUACCACAUACAGUUGACAUUUAAACCAUUGCAGACAUCUUUUUG